rnacentral:rRNA from 1 species
GAUGAACGCUGGCGGCGUGCCUAAUACAUGCAAGUCGAGCGAACGGACGAGAAUCUUGCUUUUCUGAUGUUAGCGGCGGACGGGUGAGUAACACGUGGAUAACCUACCUAUAAGACUGGGAUAACUUCGGGAAACCGGAGCUAAUACCGGAUAAUAUUUUGAACCGCAUGGUUCAAAAGUGAAAGACGGUCUUGCUGUCACUUAUAGAUGGAUCCGCGCUGCAUUAGCUAGUUGGUAAGGUAACGGCUUACCAAGGCAACGAUGCAUAGCCGACCUGAGAGGGUGAUCGGCCACACUGGAACUGAGACGCGGUCCAGACUCCUACGGGAGGCAGCAGUAGGGAAUCUUGCGCGAUGGGCGAAAGCCUGACGGAGCAACGCCGCGUGAGUGAUGAAGGUCUUCGGAUCGUAAAACUCUGUUAUUAGGGAAGAACAUAUGUGUAAGUAACUGUGCACGUCUUGACGGUACCUAAUCAGAAAGCCACGGCUAACUGCGUG